AGUGGCGGACGGGUGAGUAACGCGUGGGUAACCUGCCUUGUACAGGGGGAUAACAGUUAGAAAUGACUGCUAAUACCGCAUAAGACCACAGCACCGCAUGGUGCGGGGGUAAGAACUCCGGUGGUAUGAGAUGGACCCGCGUCUGAUUAGGUAGUUGGUGGGGUAACGGCCUACCAAGCCGACGAUCAGUAGCCGACCUGAGAGGGUGACCGGCCACAUUGGGACUGAGACACGGCCCAA
rnacentral:rRNA from 1 species